rnacentral:misc_RNA from 1 species
AAAAUAAAUAAAUAAAUAAAAAUGCAAUCAACAUAAGAAUAUCUGCAUACUCUUAAGGUAAUCAGGAUAAGGAACCUAGCCCAUGUCAAUAAAUUCACUAAAUGGGAACCCAGACCCAAUUGAAGCAGAGUGAGCUAAAUUUCACAAGCUUUCAGUAAUCACAAAUUACAUAACAAAGAAUAAAAUCUCUCCUACGUUGCUAACUUAAAAUGCUUUGUAUUCUAAUUAUCCAGUGCAUUGUCAACACUUCUCCAUAAUGGCUAAAAGUCUUUUUCUCUAUACGGAAGUGAAUCCCAAUUUAGUUUUUCCUGCUUCCGGCAGCAUACCUAUGAGUCCAGACUCAGUCAAUCCAUUUAGACAUAAAUCAUAUUAUUCACUUUCCACUAAUAACACAUUUAUUUCAUUUAUUUUCUAAACUUCUGCAAAUUUUGACACAUGUACUCAUAGCAGUCAUAACCAAAACUAUCCAUAAAUUACCCGCCUUAAUUCCAAACCAAUUUGGAUGGCAAUUUUGCCACUUUCACCUCCUAUAACCGCUUUGCAAACUAGCAAAGCAAUAGGAAUUUGUUUCUCUUGAUCCUUUGUUGUUCUUGUUCUACAUCAACAAUUCAAACCAAAACCCCAGGUAGAUAUAACUAAGACAAUGAACGAGAUUCAAAAUUCCAACACCAAGAAUGCAAACAAGACAAACUAAGAUCCCAUAACAUCACUAAGUUAUCAAAUAAUAAACCAUAAGUUUAUUAAAUCUCGUUCAGCUCAAUUAAGAAAGCAUAAAAAUAAGGAGGAAAAAA